rnacentral:rRNA from 1 species
AGCGGCGGACGGGUGAGUAACACGUGGGUAACCUGCCCAAGAGACUGGGAUAACACCUGGAAACAGAUGCUAAUACCGGAUAACAACACUAGACGCAUGUCUAGAGUUUGAAAGAUGGUUCUGCUAUCACUCUUGGAUGGACCUGCGGUGCAUUAGCUAGUUGGUAAGGUAACGGCUUACCAAGGCAAAGAUGCAUAGCCGAGUUGAGAGACUGAUCGGCCACAUUGAGACUGAGACACGGCCCAAACUCCUACGGGAGGCAGCAGUAGGGAAUCUUCCACAAUGGACGAAAGUCUGAUGGAGCAACGCCGCGUGAGUGAAGAAGGGUUUCGGCUCGUAAAGCUCUGUUGGUAGUGAAGAAAGAUAGAGGUAGUAACUGGCCUUUAUUUGACGGUAAUUACUCAGAAAGUCGCGGCUAACUACGAGCCAGCAGCCGCGGUAAUACGUAGGUGGCAAGCGUUGUCCGGAUUUAUUGGGCGUAAAGCGAGUGCAGGCGGUUCAAUAAGUCUGAUGUGAAAGCCUUCGGCUCAACCGGAGAAUUGCAUCAGAAACUGUUGAACUUGAGUGCAGAAGAGGAGAGUGGAACUCCAUGUGUAGCGGUGGAAUGCGUAGAUAUAUGGAAGAACACCAGUGGCGAAGGCGGCUCUCUGGUUUGCAACUGACGCUGAGGCUCGAAAGCAUGGGUAGCGAACAGGAUUAGAUACCCUGGUAGUCCAUGCCGUAAACGAUGAGUGCUAAGUGU